GUAUGAAUGGCCACACGAGGGCUUUACUGUCUCUUACUUCCAAUCGGUCAAAUUGACCUUCCCGUGAAGAGGCGGGAAUAUGACAAUAAGACGAGAAGACCCUAUGGAGCUUUAAUUAACCGACCCAAAGAGAUCUUGAUAAUCAACCGACAGGGAUAACAUACCUCUACCAUGGGCCGACAAUUUAGGUUGGGGUGACCUCGGAAAAUAAAACAACCUCCGAGUGAUUUAAAUCUAGACUAACUAGUCAAAAGUACUACAUCACUUAUUGAUCCAAAAACUUGAUCAACGGAACAAGUUACCCUAGGGAUAACAGCGCAAUCCUAUUUUAGAGUCCAUAUCGACAAUAGGGUUUACGACCUCGAUGUUGGA
rnacentral:rRNA from 1 species